rnacentral:rRNA from 1 species
CACACCGCCCGUCACACCAUGGAAGUUUACUGCACCAGAAGCAGGUAGCCUGACCGCAAGGGGGGCGCCUACCACGGUGUGGUCAAUGACUGGGGUGAAGUCGUAACAAGGUACCC